GUCUCCACUCAUUGUCACAGGUUAUAGGCACAGUUCAAUACACCGAUAUUGUCCUUUUUGCCUCAGUGGAUUGACGUUAACUUUUUUCCACCUAAAUGGAAAUGGAAUAGCAUGCUUAAACCUUGGUGUUAUAUCUAUGGCUUAAAACAGGAUAUGCAUAUGGACAAUGAGACAGGACUACAGAUUUAGCCCCACCCACAUCACCAGGAGGGCUGAGAAGUGGUCAUGUUGACUGCAGGAGAGAUGGAGAGGCAGGAGAGAGGGAGACUGAGAUGAAGAGGCGAGAGAGGCUGAGAAGGAGAGGCAGGAGAGAGGGAGACUGAGAAGGAGAGGCGAGAGAGACUGGGAAGGAGAGGCAGGAGAGGGAGACUGAGAUGGAGAGGCAGGAGAGAGGGAGACGGAGAAGGCGAGAGAGACUGAGAUGGAGAGGCAAGAGAGAGGGAGACUGAGAAGGAGAGGCAGGAGAGAGGGAGACUGAGAUGGAGAGGGAAGAGAGACUGAUAAGGAGAGGUGAGAGAGACUGAGAAGGAGAGGCAGGAGAGAGGGAGACUGAGAUGGAGAGGCAGGAGAGAGGGUGACUGAGGUGGAGAGGCAGGAGAGAGGGAGACUGAGAUGGAGAGUUAGGAGAGAGGGAGACUGAGGUGGAGAGGCAGGAGAGAGGGAGACUGAGGUGGAGAGGCAGGAGAGAAGGAGACUGAGAUGCAGAGGCAGGAGAGAGGGCGACUGAGAGGGAGAGGCAGGAGAGAGGGAGACUGAGAAGGAGAGUUGAGAGAGACUGAGAUGGAGAGGCAGGAGAGAGGGACACGGAGAAGGAGAGGCGAGAGAGACAGAUGGAGAGGCAGGAGAGAGAGAUUGAGAUGGAGAGGCAGGAGAGAGAGAGACCGAGAUGGAAAGGCAGGAGAGAGGGCGACUGAGAAGGAGAGGCAGGAGAGAGGGCGACUGAGAAGGAGAGGCGAGAGAGACUGAGAUGAAAAGGCAGGAGAGAGGGAGACUGAGAUGGAGAGGCAGGAGAGAGGGAGACUGAGAAGAAAAGGAGUUUGGGAGAUUGAGAAGGAGAGGGGGAGACUGAGAAGGAGAGGCAGGAAAGAAGGUGACUGAGAAGGAGAAGUGAGAGAGACAGAUGGAGAGGCAGGAGAGGGGGGCUGAGAUGGAGAGAUGAGAGAGAGGGAGACCAAGAUGGAGAGGCAGGAGAGAGGGAGACUGAGAUGGAGAGGCAAGAGAGGCUGAGAUGGAGAGGAAGGAGAGAGGGAGACGGAGAAGGAGAAGCGAGAGAGACAGAUGGAGAGGCAGGAGAGGGGGGCUGAGAUGGAGAGAUGAGAGAGAGGGAGACCAAGAUGGAGAGGCAGGAGAGCGGGAGACUGAGAUGGAGAGGCAGGAGAGAGGGAGACUGAGAAGAAAAGGAGUUUGGGAGAUUGAGAAGGAGAGGCAGAAGAGAGGGAGACUGAGAAGGAGAGGCAGGAAAGAGGGCGACUGAGAAGGAGAGGCGAGAGAGA
rnacentral:lncRNA from 1 species